AUCCUGGGCUCAGGACAAACGCUGGGCGGCGUGCUUAACACAUGCAAGUCGAACGGUGCUCCUACGGGGGCAUAGUGGCGGACGGGUGAGUAACACGUAGAUAACCUGCCCUGAAGUGGGGAAUAACAUCUCGAAAGAGAUGCUAAUACCGCAUGAGUUCUUUCCCGUUGGGGGUAGAACAAACUUCUUUGUGUGAUGCAAUGGAGGCUUUAGGAGGGGUCUGCGGCGGAUUAGCUAGUUGGGUGGGUAAAAGCUGCCCAAGGCGACGAUCCGUAGCUGGUCUGAGAGGACGGCCAGCCACACUGGGACUGAGACACGGCCCAGACUCCUACGGGAGGCAGCAGUGAGGAAUAUUCCACAAUGGGCGAAAGCCUGAUGGAGCGACGCCGCGUGAGGGAAGAAGCCUUUCGGGGUGUAAACCUCUUUUUUGAGGGAUGACACGCUUGGGUGCUGGGUAUUGGGUGUUAGGUGUUGGGUGUUAGGUGUUGGGUGCAGAUUGCACCGAGCACCGAGCGACCAGCACCCAGCGUCCAGCACCCAGCACCUAAGCUAAGACAGUACCUCAAGAAUAAGCCUCGGCUAACUACGUGCCAGCAGCCGCGGUAAUACGUAGGAGGCGAGCGUUGUCCGGAUUUACUGGGCGUAAAGGGCGCGCAGGCGGCACCCUAAGUAAGAUGUGAAAUCUCCCUGCUCAACGGGGAGGGUGCAUCUUAGACUGGGGAGCUAGAGGACGGUAGAGGGGGGUAGAAUUGCUGGUGUAGCGGUGAAAUGCGUAGAGAUCAGCAGGAAUACCCGUGGCGAAGGCGGCCCCCUGGGCCGAACCUGACGCUGAGGCGCGAAGGCUAGGGGAGCGAACGGGAUUAGAUACCCCGGUAGUCCUAGCAGUAAACGAUGGCCACUAGGUGUGGGGGGUGUUGACCCCUUCCGUGCCGAAGCUAACGCAUUAAGUGGCCCGCCUGGGGAGUACGGUCGCAAGACUAAAACUCAAAGGAAUUGACGGGGCCCCGCACAAGCAGCGGAGCGUGUGGUUUAAUUCGAUGCAACGCGAAGAACCUUACCUGGGCUUGACAUGUAUUCGCAAUCCCAAGAAAUUGGGACCUCUUCGGACGGAUACACAGAUGUUGCAUGGCUGUCGUCAGCUCGUGUCGUGAGAUGUUGGGUUAAGUCCCGCAGCGAGCGCAACCCUUGUCUUUAGUUGACAAUCUAGAGAGACUGCCGGAAACAAACCGGAGGAAGGUGGGGAUG
rnacentral:rRNA from 1 species